rnacentral:rRNA from 1 species
AUUGAACGCUGGCGGCAUGCCUUACACAUGCAAGUCGAACGGCAGCGGACCUUCGGGUGCCGGCGAGUGGCGAACGGGUGAGUAAUAUAUCGGAACGUACCUUUCAGUGGGGGAUAACGUAGCGAAAGUUACGCUAAUAUCGCAUAUUCUGUGAGCAGGAAAGCAGGGGAUCGCAAGACCUUGCGCUGAUUGAGCGGCCGAUAUCAGAUUAGCUAGUUGGUGAGGUAAAGACUCACCAAGGCGACGAUCUGUAGCGGGUCUGAGAGGAUGAUCCGCCACACUGGAACUGAGACACGGUCCAGACUCCUACGAGAGGCAGCAGUGGGGAAUUUUGGACAAUGGGCGCAAGCCUGAUCCAGCCAUGCCGCGUGAGUGAAGAAGGCCUCGG